UGUUAUUUGAUUAUGAGAUCUGUGAGUGU
rnacentral:piRNA from 1 species